UGUAUAUCUGCACACCUGAAGAG
rnacentral:piRNA from 1 species